GACUGGUACCAUAGCUGCGCGCCCAGCAUCAUCGGCAUCAUCAUAAUCAAUAUAAUCAAUGCUGCUUUGGAGAGUUUGCCACCUGUUGUAAACGUUUCAGUGUCAGCGCGCGUCCAGAAAGACCAGAGCGGCUUGUUUUGAGAAGAAAUCCAUUGUUUGGUGAGCUUGAGAGGCACAUUUAGACAGCAGAGGAGACAUUGUGGAUUACAGACACGCUGCGUGUUUCGUGUGUUCCAUGUGCAGUUGCACGAGGAUGAGGAUGAUGAUGAUGACGGAGGGAUUCAUGAGAUGUGUUUCUGCAGUCAUGACCUCCAGACCACCAGAGAACCAGCACUCGGGCCUAAAACCUCUUUCUGAGGGUUGGUUUCUCUCUUUGGUUAUCUAGCUGUAUGAGUUUUAACACUUUUCAUAAAGCUAGAUAACCGAAAGUAGAAAUAAUUCUCAAAAUCUGUUGAAAACGAGUAGUCUGAAAGCAAGAGAGCGUCCACUUGUACCUCAGAGUCUUAUUUCCAUCCACAAUAUGGCACAAUAAAGUAACAACAACAAGAGCACAGCCAUCAGAGAGCAUAAGAGAUGCUUGGAGGAACAUGGCAGUCUCCAUUUGCUACAUCUUCCCUUCUCCGCCUACCCAGAAAGCCCCAGUGCCAUCUGUACCCCUGUGGGGUGCGGGAGAAUCCGUGCCAGUGCCAGCGGUGACAAACCCUCGUCAGCGUCACAGGGAGGAAGGGAGGCCAUCUUGACGGAGAUCUUACACGAGAAGCUAAGAUGGCUGGGCUGGCACAUGAGAUGUGGACUGGACUCGGUGGAUUCGAUUAAUUAUGCAUCCAGAGAGAACAAUGGGGAGCCUCAAGCACCUGAAAGUUUAAGAGGCACAUAAAAUCAUGUUGAUGAUGAUGAGGAUGAUGUGUGUGUGAAAAGGACAAGAGCAAGAAAAGAAUUGUACUGUACUGUAUUAUACAGUGUUUUCAUUAAGAUCAUGUACAUCAUUUUAAUACAUUUCUUUACAGUUAGCCUACUUAAAGAUAUUCACAUCUUUCUAAACCUGUAUUUUUUUUCAUUUUUAUUAAUGUAUUUUUUGUUGCCCUGAUAACUGUUAAAAAUGAAAAAUAUGAUGUGCAUCUACAUACAUACAUUUUUGUAUUUUUACAGCCUAUUUAUUUCCUGUUUUUUUAUAUUGAGUUUU